rnacentral:rRNA from 1 species
GACGAACGCUGGCGGCGUGCUUAACACAUGCAAGUCGAACGGAAAGGCCCUGCUUUUGUGGGUUUCUUGAUUGGCGAACGGGUGAGUAACACGUGUGUAACCUGCCCUUGACUUUGUGAUAACUUUAGGGAACUGGGUCUAAUAUCGCGUAUGAUCUUCUGCUGCAUGGGGUGGGUUGGAGAGUUUCGGCGUUUGGGUAUGGACUCGCUGGUUAUCAGCUUGUUGGUGGGGUAGUGACUUACAAAGGCUUUGAAGGAUAGGCGGCCUGAGAGGGUUGACGGGCACAAUGGUCCUAAGAGAGGCCGCAGAAUGCAAUGGGCGGCAGUGGUGGGAAAUAUUACACAAUGAGCGGACGUCUGAUACAGAGACGCCGGGUGCGGGAUGCCGGCCUACGGGUUGUGAACAGAUUUCGAAUGAGCUGAAGAGAGCGUGACGGUAAUGGGUAAAGAAGCACCGGCUAACUACGUG